UGCAUCGGCUGGGAAUCGAACCUGGGCCGCCCGCGUGGCAGGCGAGCAUUUUACCACUGAACCAUCGAUUGC
rnacentral:tRNA from 1 species